GUCAGGGGGUACCCUCGGGAGUCACCGGGGACCUCAGGCGCCGCUAGACCGGCUCAGGGACUCUAGGGGGUGGGGCUACCUUACUAAUGGCCCGUUCUGCCAGCAGGUGAUUUCCUGCUUCUGCCUUGAAAUAAAGACCUCAAAGAUGGCGGAAGACACAUAGUGUCAGAGGUUGGAAGGGCUUCUCAUCUUCUUUGUACAGUGACAUCACUGAGGAAUGUUCUUCGCAGCAAUGGCGGCUGUGCUGUCCUGCCCUCCACCUCCCCAUCUCCAAGCAUCCAGUCCAGGGCAGCAGUCUGAGGGCAUCAUAGGCCUCCUUCUAGCUCUCCAUCUCUGGCUAACAUCAGGAGAAAGCAGAACCCGGUGUCUCCAAACCUGGAUUAGCAUGGCCGUGUGA
rnacentral:lncRNA from 1 species